rnacentral:rRNA from 1 species
GACGAACGCUGGCGGCGUGCCUAACACAUGCAAGUCGAGCGCUAAAGCUUUGUACUUGUACCCUCUGGGUGAGCAGCGAACGGGCGAGUAACGCGUGGGUCAUCUGCUUUUUAUUGGGGGACAACAUUUGGAAACGAAUGCUAAUACCGCAUAAAAACUUUAAACACAAGAUUUAAGGUUGAAAGAUGCAAUUGCAGCACUCAAAGACGAUCGCGCGUUGUGUUAGGUUGUUGGUGAGGUAAAGGCUCACCAAGGCGGUGAUACAUAGCCGAACUGAGAGGGUGGUCGGCCCACAUGGGAAUGGGACACGGCCCAAACUCCCACAGGAAGGAGCAGGAGGGAAACAUCGGCAAUGGGGGGAAGUCUGACCGCACAACGCCGAGGGAGGAGACAAGGGUGUCGGAUCGGAAAAGUCGGUUGGUAGGGAAGAAAGUUGGUGAGGGUGGAACGCUCAUCAAGUGACGGUAACUACCCAGAAAGCAACGGCUAACUACGUG